rnacentral:rRNA from 1 species
CCUACGGGAGGCAGCAGUGAGGAAUAUUGGUCAAUGGGCGAGAGCCUGAACCAGCCAAGUCGCGUGAGGGAGUACUGCCCUAUGGGUUGUAAACCUCUUUUGUCGGGGAGCAAAAGCCGGACGUGUCCGGCUGUGAGAGUACCCGAAGAAAAAGCAUCGGCUAACUCCGUGCCAGCAGCCGCGGUAAUACGGAGGAUGCGAGCGUUAUCCGGAUUUAUUGGGUUUAAAGGGUGCGCAGGCGGAUUUUUAAGUCAGCGGUAAAAUCGUGGGGCUCAACCCCAUCCAGCCGUUGAAACUGGGGAUCUAGAGUGUGCGAGAGGUAUGCGGAAUGCGUGGUGUAGCGGUGAAAUGCAUAGCUAUCACGCAGAACCCCGAUUGCGAAGGCAGCAUACCGGUGCACAACUGACGCUCAGGCACGAAAGCGUGGGUAUCGAACAGGAUUAGAUACCCCAGUAGUC